rnacentral:rRNA from 1 species
CAAUAGCGUAUAUUAAAGCUGUUGCGGUUAAAAAGCUCGUAGUUGGAUUUCUGUCAAGGACAACUGGUCCGCCCUCCGGGUGAGCACAUAGUUUGGUCUUGACAUCUUGCUGGAAGCCGUUGCUGCACUUGGCUGUGUGGCGCAGUGUUCAGCACUUUCACUUUGAGGAAAUUGGAGUGUUUCAAGCAGGCACAUGCCUUUGGACACAGUAGCAUGGAAUAAUUAGAUUGGGCUUUUGCUCCAAUUUGUCGGUUUCUGGAGCUGAGGUGAGUAUUAAUGGGGAUUGUUGGGGGCAUCCGAAUUUAGCCGUCAGAGGUGAAAUUCUUGGAUCUGCUAAAGACGGACAACUGCGAAAGCGUUUGCCCAGGAUGUUUUCAUUGA